rnacentral:rRNA from 1 species
UUGCUACAGGCUUAACACAUGCAAGUCGAGGGGCAGCAUGGUCUUAGCUUGCUAAGGCCGAUGGCGACCGGCGCACGGGUGAGUAACACGUAUCCAACCUGCCGUCUACUCUUGGACAGCCUUCUGAAAGGAAGAUUAAUACAAGAUGGCAUCAUGAGUCCACAUGUUCACAUGAUUAAAGGUAUUCCGGUGGACGAUGGGGAUGCGUUCCAUUAGAUAGUAGGCGGGGUAACGGCCCACCUAGUCUUCGAUGGAUAGGGGUUCUGAGAGGAAGGUCCCCCACAUUGGAACUGAGACACGGUCCAAACUCCUACGGGAGGCAGCAGUGAGGAAUAUUGGUCAAUGGGCGAGAGCCUGAACCAGCCAAGUAGCGUGAAGGAUGACUGCCCUAUGGGUUGUAAACUUCUUUUAUAAAGGAAUAAAGUCGGGUAUGGAUACCCGUUUGCAUGUACUUUAUGAAUAAGGAUCGGCUAACUCCGUGCCAGCAGCCGCGGUAAUACGGAGGAUCCGAGCGUUAUCCGGAUUUAUUGGGUUUAAAGGGAGCGUAGAUGGAUGUUUAAGUCAGUUGUGAAAGUUUGCGGCUCAACCGUAAAAUUGCAGUUGAUACUGGAUAUCUUGAGUGCAGUUGAGGCAGGCGGAAUUCGUGGUGUAGCGGUGAAAUGCUUAGAUAUCACGAAGAACUCCGAUUGCGAAGGCAGCCUGCUAAGCUGCAACUGACAUUGAGGCUCGAAAGUGUGGGUAUCAAACAGGAUUAGAUACCCUGGUAGUCCACACGGUAAACGAUGAAUACUCGCUGUUUGCGAUAUACGGCAAGCGGCCAAGCGAAAGCGUUAAGUAUUCCACCUGGGGAGUACGCCGGCAACGGUGAAACUCAAAGGAAUUGACGGGGGCCCGCACAAGCGGAGGAACAUGUGGUUUAAUUCGAUGAUACGCGAGGAACCUUACCCGGGCUUAAAUUGCAGAUGAAUUACGGUGAAAGCCGUAAGCCGCAAGGCAUCUGUGAAGGUGCUGCAUGGUUGUCGUCAGCUCGUGCCGUGAGGUGUCGGCUUAAGUGCCAUAACGAGCGCAACCCUUGUUGUCAGUUACUAACAGGUUCUGCUGAGGACUCUGACAAGACUGCCAUCGUAAGAUGUGAGGAAGGUGGGGAUGACGUCAAAUCAGCACGGCCCUUACGUCCGGGGCUACACACGUGUUACAAUGGGGGGUACAGAGGGCCGCUACCACGCGAGUGGAUGCCAAUCCCAAAAACCUCUCUCAGUUCGGACUGGAGUCUGCAACCCGACUCCACGAAGCUGGAUUCGCUAGUAAUCGCGCAUCAGCCACGGCGCGGUGAAUACGUUCCCGGGCCUUGUACACACCGCCCGUCAAGCCAUGGGAGCCGGGGGUACCUGAAGUGCGUAACCGCGAGGAGCGCCCUAGGGUAAAACUGGUGACUGGGGCUAAG